GAAAUACUCCCUCUGUCCGAAAAUACUUGUCAUCAAAAUGAAUAAAAAAAUAUGUAUCUAAAACUGAAAUAUAUCUAGACAUCCCCAUUUAUCUUGUUUGAUGACAAGUAUUUUCGGAUGGAGGGAGUACUUG
rfam:Triticum aestivum genome assembly, contig: Triticum_aestivum_CS42_TGACv1_scaffold_407256_5BL